CUCCCCAUUAUUCAAAUCUCUUUGUUUCCUCUUUGGCUUAAAGCAGUCCCUUUUGAAGUGUCCCAAUUUUCCACAAUUGUAACACUUCUUGUUGCUUUUAUCUCUAGAUUUUGAUCUGGUUUUGGAUUUCCAUUUUCCCUUCUUUGUGGAAAAAUUAUUUUGACUCUUUUCAACUCUUCCUCUUACAAAUAUGCUUUCAUCUCUAGGAUUAGAUUUAGUUUUCUUUUUAACUUCUAACUCCCUAGAUCUCAAAGCAUCAAUGACUAUAACUUGAGUCAGUUUAUCCCUUGAGUAUUUUAUUGCAUUUCUGACAUCUUUAUAUGAGUCAGGUAAUGAGUUUGAAAGAAUUACAGCAAGGUCUUCAUCAUCAUAUUUCUUCUCAUUAUGUGCAAGGCUUUUCACUAUGAUACAAAAUUUACUCAAAUUUACCUCUAAAUCCUUCCCGGGGUCCAUACUAAAGCUAAACAGCUUUUCCAAGAGAUAAAUUUUAUCCGAUAGCAUUUUAGUUAAGAACAUAGCAUCAAGGACAGUCCGUAGGGCUCUAGCAGUUUUGGAUUCAUCAACUUGUCUGACUAUAUUAUCGAACAAAUGUAAAUUGUGGAACUAUAAGCAAUUUCAUUCAUAUCUUCAAUUUCAUUUGGUUUUGCUUUAAGUUCAGCAGAAAAAGUUUCAAGAUUAUCAAGGGCCUAAGCAACCCUCUGUUGAACCAGAGUAAUCCCCCUUUCCAUCGAAUUGAGACAAUUCGAACUUCGAACCCAUCACGUGUUCUAUAAAAGGGUGGCCUAGAC
rnacentral:lncRNA from 1 species